GCUAAUGAAUCCUCUUCUGCUGAAAUUCCACCUUGCAAAGUUCAUGUAAAAAGUCCAGAUCAGGAGGCAUUCAGGAGAGCAGAAGGCAUUGGGCAUUGUCUCUAGACCGAAACCGAUGGGAAAAGCAGCCAAGAUAAUCAAAGACCUAUCCCAUCCCGAACAUUCCUUCUUCUCCUUGCUUCCAUCAAGAGAAGCUUGAAAACGCACUCCGCCAGACUCAGCAAUUGCUUCUUCUCCUCAGUUAUCAGGCUUCUGAACGAUCCUGUCAAAAGCUAGGGUGCUGUCUGAUGCACCUCUACCCCAUUGUGUACAUUGGACUUUGUCUGUUGAACUGAUUGCCGGACACCAUCUGUUGAGUGUCAAGUCAUCACCUAGACUGACUGGGUGGUGCAGUCUUGGCAACAAACAGGGAAGGAGGAUCCCGACGUUAUCAUCGGAAAGAAGUGUCAACUAACAUAUUGUCGAGGGGGAUGACUUGCCACCUGCCACACUACUGCCACUCAGUGCACAUGUGACACAUUGCACCCCUUCCACAUCUCGUGCUUGGCUGAUCCUUGGCUACCAGUGCUGCCUCUCUGUGUGAGUUCCCUGACGCCGCUCGCCGUUGCAUUGUGGCAGCUACAGUCAGUCCCAGGGAUUUUAACCCCUGGCAGGAGAGGGCUCCUGUGCUGAAUGCCAGGAAGAUUUGAAAUGGAAGGGGCCCAUAUGAAUACCAUUGAUCAGCUGUCAGCUGUUUGCCCAGGAAGGUGCUGCUGGUCAGCAGAAUGCUAGUGAAGCUCCAUGAUGUCUGGGGGUUAAAGGCUGUGGCCUUUGCUGCAUUGUGAGGGUGACAAUACCUCAAGUACUUAAUUGGCUGUAAAGUCCUUUAAGCCAGUCAGAAGAUGGCCCGUAAGUAUUUUGCUUCCUCCUUCUAAACAGACACAGGAGAAGCACAUUCAACCCAUCACGCUUGCUCAGACCGUUUUACCUCAGUGAACUUUCCUGUGUUAAUAGUGACAAGGUGCAAGAGGGAUAGUUUACUGUAGUUAUGGGGAGCAAGUUUUUUUUUAACACAGAGAGCAGUGGAGGCCUGGAACACAUUGUCAGUGGUGGUUUAUAAGUUCAUAAGCUAUAGGAGCAGAAUUAGGCCAUUCGGCCCAUCAAGUCUACGUUUCUCAUCUCUGUCCUGAAUAGCUUUAGGUGUUAGAUUUUACGGAUAUUGCGUGGAAGCAGGCUCUUCGCCGCACCAAACCCAUGCCGACCAGCGAUCAUCCCACACACCAGCACUAUCCUACACACUAGUGACAAUUUACAAUUUUUACCUAAGCCAAUUAACCUACAAACCCGUACAUCUUUUGGAGUGCGGGAGGAAACCGGAGCACCCAGAGAAAGCCCACGUGGUCACAGGGGGAACAUUCAAACUCCGUACAGACAGCAUUGGUAGUCAGGAUCGAACCUGGGUCUCUGGCACUGUAAAGCAGCAACUCGACCACUGUGCCACUGUGCGGAUGCAACACAGUGGGACAGGCGGCAUCUCUGGAGAGAAGGAAUGCUGCAUCUACAUCUACAUCUACAUCUGCAGUUCCUUUUAGACAUUUGAUGUCUAUCUUCGAUUUAAACCAGCAACUGCAGUUCCUUCCUAACCUACAAAUCUGUGUGUGUUUGGAAUGUGGGAGGAAACCGGAGCACGCGGAGAAAACCCACAGGUUUUCGGGGAGAACAUACAAACUCCAUGCAGAUCGCACCCGCAGCCCGGGUCUCUGGAGCUGUAAGGCAGCAACUCUACCCCUGCGCCACCGUGUCAGCCCCCCAUGGCAGAUCCCUUAUUUUGAGACAGUGACCCCUAAAUCUGGACAUCACAGUCAGAGGAAACUUUUAAGUCUUUACACUGUUCCUGUCUUGUACAGUGUUUAAAUUUCUGAAUAAAGUUUCAUUUUGGAAAAAAAAAAUCCAAAGAUGUGGUGGUCUCUUUUCCCCCCUUCAGUUCCCUAUCCCUCUUCCUUAAAACUGAACUAGGGUUCUGAGCCGAAACGUCCUCUGUCCUUUUUCUCCAGAGAUGCUGCCUGACCCACUGAAUUACUCCAGCACGUUGUGUCUAUCUUCUUACAUGAUACAGUGCUCUUUUUGAAAACUUGGAAAUUGGAAAUCUACCGUAUGACUUGAAGGUUUUCUGAUAGGGGACUGAGUGCGUGCAAGGCAGCAUAGAGACUUUCUAAAUUUGACUUCAUAUGCCAAUUUAUUUUGUUAAGUACCUAGAAACUAUUUACAUUUGCCUGGUAAAUCAAGUUAAAAGAAAACCCUUGCUUCGGUUGUUUGAAGCAACUCACUUUAGUACCUUGGCCAUGAGUCACCCUUUAACUGUAUCAGAAAUUACAGAUAAGAUAGGGGUUUUCUACGACUUUUAUGGCAAUCAUGUCAGGAGGCUGUAGAAUAUAAACCAGCUUGGAUUUUUACAGUGUCUGCAUUGUGAACAUAUGCCAGGCAGGAGGGAACCAAUCUCAAUCCAGUGAUAAAGCUGAAAAAGGAAAUAAUUUCAUCUUUGACUCAAACAUUCAUCAUCAGGGAAAUAUCACUUGCGUUGACAGCUUGUUAUUCUGAAGUGAUCAGUAAUUGCAGGCGCUGAAUUUGAUUCGCAAACAAUCAGAGCCCAGAGUAUCGGCGGCAGCUGCACUUAAAGUUCCGUCAGGCUGACUGAAAGUUGAAAUGAAUUGGCAUCAAAUUAUCUAAUCAGACAUGUGACGUAAGGUUCAGUGAGGAGCCAAAUUUUGUUCACUUUGCAAAGUGUCCAUUCAUAAUUUUUUUUUAAACAAACUCUAAAUUCAAAUCUUGGCAGAAGUCUGAUUUAUCAGCAUUGUGGAAAGAAAGAGGAACUCCUUAAAGUUUGUAUAUUUGAAAAGCAAUCUUCCUAAUGCUGGAAUAACGUUAUAAAGUGUGUCGAGUGUCUAGGAGUCAACUCAAACAUGAUAUAUGGGCGGCAUGUAGGUGCAAUGGUAGAGUUGUUGCGUUACAGCACCAGAAACCUGCGUUCGAAACUGACUAUGGGUGCUGACUGUACGGAGUUUGUCCGUUCUCCUCGUGACCUGCGUGGACUUUCUCCAGGUGCUACACUUUCCUCCCACACUCCAAAGGCGUACAUGCUUGUAGACUCAUUUGCUUCAGUAGAAUUGUAAAUUGUUCUUAGUGUGAGUGUGCGGGAUCGCUGGUCGGCGCUGACUCUGUGGGCUGAAGGGCCUGUUUCCGUGCUGUAUCUCUAAACUAAACUAAACUAAAUAGAGUUUGAAGAUUUGUGUACUCUUCUUGUGAGGUUUUCUGACAGAAACCUAUACUUCACUUGCAGGUGUAGAAAAGAACUGCAGAUGCUGGUUUACACUGAAAUUAGACACAAUGUGCUGUAGUAACUCAAUGGAUCAAGCAGCAUCAUUGAAGAAAAAGGAUAGGUGACGUUUCGGGUGGGGUCUGAAGAAGGGUGCUGACCCGAAAUAUCACACAUUUGUUUUCUCCAGAGAUGCUGCCUGACCUAUCAAGCACUUUGUAUCAAUUUUCACUUGCAGGUGCUGGCUGAACCAGAAAUUGGCACAAAAUGCUGGAGUAACUCAGCGGGACAGGCAGCAUCUCUGGAGAGAAGUAUUGGGUGAGGUUUCGGGUCGAGACCCUGGCUGAAUCAGUUGUAAUUGUCAAAAGGGAAAAUUUGGACAAAUUCUGCUUAUUGCAA